AGAGAUCCCUGGGCUGAGCCGAGGCACAAUUCCCGUGCGACGUGUUGGCUCGCUGGUCAGCCGAUGCGACAAUGCGAAAGGAGCCAGCGUCAAGGAUUAUUGAUUAUGCAAAGUGCCCGAACCGGACAAUGGCGGGAGAAACAAAGGGCUUAAGCAAAGAAAAAGGAUAUGUGUG